CGUGGGUGGGAAUAAGUCUUUUGGCCUUGUAUAAAAAGGAACUACUGUUUGUAACAGAGACAACCGACUCACACACAGCUCCAUUUUCCAUAUUCCCCUUCUGCUCUCUUUACAGAUCUGAUCAAGACCCCACCUAUGGUGCUGAGGAUGCCAUUGCAACCCGAGAACAAAAAGCACCCUGAUGAGGAAGAUUCUUGUUCUGUAGCUUACUCAUAUCCUUUGACCCCCAGGAAUCAUUGUUUGAUAUCUUAUUCUUCUAUACCUUCUUGUUCUUUCUAUUGCCUCUCCACUCUCUUUCUUUUCAAAAUUCAUGUUAUCUUUUCACUAUGCAUAGAACUGCAGCAUUUUCAAGGACUAUUAAGUCCAGGAUGACUGUUUCUGCAGCUCCUCCAUUUAGAUGUACAGAACAUGCAGAGAAACAGAAGGAGUUUUAUUCAAAAUUAGAGGAGAAACAUAAAGCAAUGGAAGCUGAGAAAAGCCAGAGUGAAGCAAGGACCAAGAUCUUAAUAUUUGAAGGAAGAGAUAGAGGCGGCUAUCAAGCCAUUCAGAAAGAAUUUAUCUUUUAUGGGGAACCCAAUGCCAAGCUUCUACCAUGAGGGACUACCACCAAAAGCUGACCUGAGAAAGGAACAUGAUGCUUAGGUGUGAGGUUGAGAUGGCGGAAAGACAGAAGAGGAUAAGCAGCUGUAAACAGGGCAUGCCAUAGCUGUCUUGGGCUAUUUUCUUCUGAUAGAAUUACAAAGCGGUAGCAAGCAGCUCUUUAAGCAGCAGGUUUUUAAAAGCAUGAACCAAUGAAAUUAGCUUGUUUGGAUGGAAUCUGUGACUAAUAAACCCCAUUUAGAAAAUUCUAAAAAUGCAGAUUUUCAUGUCAUUAAUUUUUCAUUUUAGUAAAAUGCAGACAGAAAAAUGAAUUAAAACCAUCCAUCUAAGAGCCAGUGCAGAUAAAAAAUCGGGGAAAAAUAAUCAAAAUUGAGCUUUCAAUUCUACAUUUUAUGAUAUCUUUAUGAGGAAUUAUGAAGAAAUAUAUAGCUAAUAAAGAAAACAAGAAAAAUUGUAGAUACCCUAGCAAGACUGUGGUAGAAAAUGAAGGGCUUCCUUUAUUAUCUUCAUUGUAGAGAUGACCUUUCUGAAAUUCCUUUAAGUUUUGGGCUUAGAUUAAUUAUAUCACGCCUUUUCCACUUAACAUUGCUCGUAAUGUCACCAAGAUGUCGUAGUUUGUUGCUAAUUUUUCCUUUGUUAUCUUUUUUUUUUUUUAGGAAGUGUGCUCAGUUAAAAAUUACACUGUUGUUCAUGUUGAACAUAAACAAUAUUGCUUCAUUUUGUAGCAAGUAUAAAGAAUAGAAAAACAAAACUUCUUAGUCUCUAUAUCUCUCCUCCCUACCAAAUGAUGUCGUUUUCUCCGAUAAUGGGUAAAAGGACAUCAUUUUGUAAAUGAGCGCGAACUUUGAACCACGAAUCUUAGUCACAAAUUUGAGUUAUGGAUGUGAAGUCGGUUUUUUGAAACUUAUCUUGCUCAUCUUGCUCAAACUUGAUUCAAAUUUAAACCAAGCCUAGUUGAGCCGAAUUUUACGACCAAUUUAAUUCAAUUCAAAUUCAGCCUUAAGAUAAGCAUUGGUUAAUCUUAUUAUUUGUUAUGGUGAGAGGUAAAUUAAAUGAAGUGAGGAUUAGACAAUUAGUUAGGUUUUUUAACAUGGUUUGACCUAUUUUUUUGAAACUUCUACAGUUAUGUGAUUAGUAACUUUUUGAGAUAGCUCAAGUAAAGUGUGAGUAGUAGAAUGUCUUGAUUUUGGAUAGGGGUUUGAAAAAGAGUGGUUGAAUUUCUAUGAUAACCUCUUCGUCUAUUUUAG